rnacentral:rRNA from 1 species
UCAAUAAGCGGAGGAAAAGAAACCAACAAGGAUUGCCCUAGUAACGGCGAGUGAAGCGGCAACAGCUCAGAUUUGAAAUCUGGCGUCUUUGGCGUCCGAGUUGUAAUCUGUAGAGGAUGCUUUUGGGUAGCCACCGGUCUAAGUCCCCUGGAACGGGGCGUCACAGAGGGUGAGAAUCCCGUAUGUGACCGGAAGGGCACCCUCCACAUAGCUCCUUCGACGAGUCGAGUUGUUUGGGAAUGCAGCUCUAAAUGGGAGGUAAAUUCCUUCUAAAGCUAAAUACCGGCCAGAGACCGAUAGCGCACAAGUAGAGUGAUCGAAAGAUGAAAAGCACUUUGGAAAGAGAGUUAAAAAGCACGUGAAAUUGUUGAAAGGGAAGCGCUUGCAACCAGACUUGUUGGCGGUGUUCCGCCGGUCUUCUGACCGGUUCACUCACCGUCUGCAGGCCAGCAUCAUCUGGGGCCGCCGGAUAAAAGCGAGGGGAAUGUGGCUCCCCCGGGAGUGUUAUAGCCCCUCGUGCAAUACGGCGAGUCUCGGGUGAGGUCCGCGCUUCGGCUAGGAUGCUGGCGUAAUGGUCGUAAGCGGCCCGUCUUGAAACACGGACCAAGGAGUCUAACAUCUAUGCGAGUGUUCGGGUGUCAAACCCCUACGCGUAAUGAAAGUGAACGGAGGUGGGAGCCUUUGGGUGCACCAUCGACCGAUCCUGAUGUCUUCGGAUGGAUUUGAGUAAGAGCAUAGCUGUUGGGACCCGAAAGAUGGUGAACUAUGCCUGGAUAGGGUGAAGCCAGAGGAAACUCUGGUGGAGGCUCGCAGCGGUUCUGACGUGCAAAUCGAUCGUCAAAUUUGGGUAUAGGGGCG